rnacentral:rRNA from 1 species
UGCCAGCAGCCGCGGUAACACGUAGGGAGCAAGCGUUGCCCGGAAUUACUGGGCGUAAAGAGCUCGUAGGCGGGGGCGUGCGUCUGAGAGGAAAUCUCAAGGCUUAACCUUGGGGCUGUCUCAGAUACGGCGCUUCUUGAGGAUGUGAGAGGAAAGUGGAAUUUCCGGUGUAGCGGUGAAAUGCGUAGAUAUCGGAAGGAACACCAGUGGCGAAGGCGACUUUCUGGCACAUUCCUGACGCUGAGGAGCGAAAGCGUGGGUAGCGAACGGGAUUAGAUA